GCUUUUAUAGUUUAACUAAGAACAUAGAUCCUGUAAAUCUAAAGAAUCCAAAAGCUC
rnacentral:tRNA from 1 species